AAUUAAUUAUAUGCAUGUUCUAUUCGACUGCCUGAUGCCCAGUACUGGUGUUUGCGGGGAUAGUACAGCCUAGCCUCUUCAGUAGGUGCAAUGGCAGUAAAGCUUAUGAGCUCAUUUUUAGCAUGUACGUGAGCAGUUGACAUGCUGGUGUGAAGCAGAGGUGCGUGUAUUGAGAGCACCCAUGAUUCAGGCAAAAAGCUAGACAAAUUAAUAAACUUUGUACAAGUUGUACUUGAAGCCAGUGAUAGCUCGUUCAAGGAUGCCGAUUGUGAUUAUCCUACUUCAACAACGUGCUUGCCACUCAGGAGUGACAAAGUACAGCAUGCUGCUUUUCUUUAAGAAACCCCUUCAACUUAUGUAUGCAAUAUGUACUUGUGAAGAACUAUGACAGAGCCUUGUUUAUUGUAUGCAUGUCUAAUGUAUUUUCAUACUGAAUAGAGUAACGUACUCUUGCCCCCACGGUCCCAGCACCAUGUUUGCAAUUGUAUUCUUGGUCGCGCGUUGCUCAAUUAGGUGAGUCUGUUUUUCUUUCAUUUUACUUACAUUUUUACAUGAAUUUGCCCGUGCAUUUGGUCCUAUCACUGACAACAAUUCAAACCUGUCAAUCGGGGAAAGAUAUGCCCAUCAACAGUCCUCUACAGUUGAGAUGUUGAUAUGACAAGUUUAAUUUGUGUUUAAUCUUCACAUAACUAAUUUUGAAUACCAUGUAUGUCAUGUAGAAAUGUUAAAUUCCCUUCAUUUUUGGUCACAAAUGUCGCACUACAGGUGAUGCGAGAAACUCAGGAUGGGGGCAAAAUGGUCUUGACCACUGGCGAACUCUUCUAUCUCACCGACUCCCUUUGUAUUCGAGUCCAGCAAUUCAACUUAUGAAGAUAACAUGUAGGCUGAACCCAGGAGAGAACAAAUUAUAUGCACCUCUUUUAGUAUCUUUAAUCAAAGUUUGCAUCUCUAUCAUGUUCACUUGGACAAUGACUAUACCUAUUAUAUGUCCUUCCAAGUUCACACAAGAAAUUAGAUAUGUUGCAUACUUU